rnacentral:lncRNA from 1 species
AAACACAACUAGAAUUUCAGCUGCUUGGUCUUGUAGAAAAUAUUUCACUCAGAUUCACUGAGAAAAUCAAAGGGGAUGACAAAGGGUAAUUUCCAGACAAAUUAUACAACCCACAGAAACCCAACUGUCCAUAACAUAGCGAGUUUGCGCUUUCAGCUACCUCGUAAAAGCUACAUGCACCGUGGGAAAUAGGUUUGCCCCACAUACCCACCAUACAUAGCCCUUUUCACAUUUGAUUCAAACAUCUUCGGAUUAU